UAAAUAACUGGAGGGCACAUGUCUUGCUAACUAUAACUAUUCAGAUGCCAAUCAGAGGCUCACUAGCCUUACAAAUAUCAAUCUCAUGUGUUCUCUGUACUAUGUAUGUUCUCAGAAGACUAAUGAGUUACAUUAGAUAUACAUAAUAAAGCCCCGUAUAAGAGUGCAUUUUCCCACUACCUGGGUGACAUAGCAGUGCAUACAAUGUGAAAGAAACCUAGAGAAAGUUCUGUAAGGACAUCAGAUACUGCUAUAUUGGUUUUAGGCAAUCUAGGCACUAAAAUUAUGAUGCUGCUUUACAGGUAGCAUAUACUGUGGCAAAUUACCUAUGUAAAAGAAAUAUUUAAACUGCUUAUUCUUGUUUUUUAUGUACAGAUUUUAGAAAUAUUAAAAUUU
rnacentral:lncRNA from 1 species